GACGAACGCUGGCGGCGUGCUUAACACAUGCAAGUCGAACGAUGAAGCCCAGCUUGCUGGGUGGAUUAGUGGCGAACGGGUGAGUAACACGUGAGUAACCUGCCCCUGACUCUGGGAUAAGCGUUGGAAACGACGUCUAAUACUGGAUAUGACUACUGGUCGCAUGGCCUGGUGGUGGAAAGAUUUUUUGGUUGGGGAUGGACUCGCGGCCUAUCAGCUUGGUGGUGGGGUAAUGGCUCACCAAGGCGGCGGAGGGUAGCCGGCCUGAGAGGGUGAACGGCCACCCUGGGACUGAGGCACGGCCCAGACUCCUACGGGAGGGAGGAGGGGGGAAUAUUGCACAAUGGGCGAAAGCCUGAUGCAACCACGCCGGGUGGGGGAUGACGGCCUUCGGGUUGUAAACCUCUUUUAGUAGGGAAGAAGCGAAAGUGACGGUACCUGCAGAAAAAGCACCGGCUAACUACGUGCCAGUAGCCGCCGUAA
rnacentral:rRNA from 1 species